rnacentral:rRNA from 1 species
CCUACGGGAGGCAGCAGUGGGGAAUAUUGCACAAUGGGGGAAACCCUGAUGCAGCGACGCCGCGUGAGUGAAGAAGUAAUUCGUUAUGUAAAGCUCUAUCAGCAGGGAAGAAAAUGACGGUACCUGAGUAAGACGCCCCGGCUAACUACGUGCCAGCAGCCGCGGUAAUACGUAGGGGGCAAGCGUUAUCCGGAUUUACUGGGUGUAAAGGGAGCGUAGACGGCAGUGCAAGUCUGGAGUGAAAGGCGGGGGCUCAACCCCGGAACGGCUUUGGAAACUGAGCAGCUAGAGUGCUGGAGAGGUAAGCGGAAUUCCUAGUGUAGCGGUGAAAUGCGUAGAUAUUAGGAGGAACACCAGUGGCGAAGGCGGCUUACUGGACAGUAACUGACGUUGAGGCUCGAAAGCGUGGGGAGCAAACAGGAUUAGAUACCCUUGUAGUC